rnacentral:rRNA from 1 species
GGGGAAUUUUGGACAAUGGGGGCAACCCUGAUCCAGCCAUGCCGCGUGAGUGAAGAAGGCCUUCGGGUUGUAAAGCUCUUUCGGCCGGGAAGAAAUCGUGCAGGCUAAUACCCUGUAUGGAUGACGGUACCGGAAUAAGAAGCACCGGCUAACUACGUGCCAGCAGCCGCGGUAAUACGUAGGGUGCGAGCGUUAAUCGGAAUUACUGGGCGUAAAGGUGCGCAGGCGGUUUUGUAAGACAGGCGUGAAAUCCCCGGGCUCAACCUGGGAACUGCGCUUGUGACUGGAAGAAUAGAGGACGGGAGAGGGGGGUGGAAAUCCCCGUGUAGCAGUGAAAUGCGUAGAGGUGUGGAGGAACACCAAUGGCGGAGGCAGACCCCUGGGUCUGUACUGACGCUCAUGCAGGAAAGCCUGGGGGGCAAACA